ACUUAUUGGACCCGGGGGCGGUACCCGGCGCCUCCACCAAAAUAUAAUACAAAAUUAUACUUUGAUGGGGGCGAAAUAGGAUCGACAAGAGUGUAAAGAUUGCUCUUUUACUCGGCAUAGUACCACCGUUAUCGGGCUAAAUGAGUAGUUGCAAAUGACAACUAUGCGGAAGCACGUCUCGCCGCUUAAGGUGGUGUGAAUGCUUCAAAUUAAGCCUUAAACCGUCGCAGGUUUAAGCGGGGUUCGGAGG
rnacentral:tmRNA from 1 species